AUUUGUUUCACGAAUGAUUGUUGUUGUUGUUUUCGCUUCUGUCAUUUGGUAAGACUUGUUCCAAAAUUUGUUUUUAAGAAACACUUGGGAGAAAGAAUGAAAGGUGUACGGGAGGAUCAUAGCACUUCAGGGAGCAGCGAGCGCCUCAGGAAUGUGUUUGCUUCAUCUUCUGAAGGGAAGCCAUGACACUGAGCAAAAGGAGGCCCCAAAUAGUUCAGUUGCGAAGCAAAGGUGACUACAGGCUGGCGCUGGGGAAAGUUCCUCCAGUUAUGAUGGUUUCCCCAGCCCCAGGGGAAGCUGAAUUGGUGUCAGUAAUCACCACAAAGGGACUUAAUUGUAAUUAGUUGAUUUAUUGAUUUCACGGGGAUAAUACAGUUUUCUCUAGCUACUACUAUGAACACUGGUUCCACUUCAAGCCAGAAAGGCAUGGUUCCUUUUAAGUGUUUGUGUGUGUGAAAGAGAGACACAGAGAACACACACAGUGCUUUUCUGUGAUCCUAUUCCUUGCUAUGUUGUUGUCACUUUUUGUUUUGGUCGUUGCCCUUGGCAACCACUGUGUUCUGGCACCCUUGGCACCGUUACCAAGAAACGAGUAGCCGCCGCUCAUUUUCUAUCCAUCUAAUUCACCCAUACCAUACUGACCUCAAAAUAGGCCAGAAUUUUUACCCCCAAACUGGCAUGUACGAAAGCUGAAUGUGACCUAUAUUCGGGUAAAUAUAAUAUACAGUGGUACCUCGGGUUACAUAUGCUUCAGGUUACAUACGCUUCAGGUUACAGACUCCGCUAACCCAGAAAUAGUGCUUCAGGUUAAGAACUUUGCUUCAGGAUGAGAACAGAAAUCGUGCUCCGGCGGCGCGGCAGCGGGAGGCCCCAUUAGCUAAAGUGGUGCUUGAGGUUAAGAACAGUUUCAGGUUAAGAACAGACCUCCAGAACAAAUUAAGUACUUAACCUGAGGUACCACUGUAUCCCUUAAUUGUAAUGAUUAUGGUAGAGCCAUUCCUAGACCCAGUUGCCACCUGUCCUGUAUAAUACGGGAUUGCCCCUUAUUUCAAUGUAAAAUGUUGCGUCCUGUAUUGAUUCAAUAAUGUUGCGUCCUGUAUUGAUUCAAUACAGGACUCAGUUUGUCGCGGAUUCCCCCUCUUUCCACUCUGCUCCCCUCGCUUCUUUCCUUUUCCCCCUCCUCGCUCCCUCUCCUCAUCCCACCCCCAAGGAGGAGCAAACCAGGGCAAGGCCCUGACAUUAUUGCUUCUGGUUCCCUGCAGCUUUGCAUGGUUUAAGGCGGCAGUUCGCAGAGCUGCAGCCUGGGAGUGCUGGGCCCCAUCCCUCAGAGAGCAACAGGCUUACAAAUGUGUGCGUGUGUGACAAAUUCCAGAGGGGCCAUGCGGUCAGAUCGCAAUAGAUUGCUCUGAAGUCAUUUCAGCACCAGGUGGAAAAGCAAAUCGCCCCAAUCCAACUCACUCUGGACUGCCCGCUGCCAUCCUAUCCUGUCCUGUAUUUUGCCAGAACAAAGGUGGUAACCCUACACAGGAUUCCAGAUCUGAGAUAAAGCAUAAAGUCUACCCCAGGACUCACAAAAGACAGACAGGCGAAAAGGGGGACAGGGACACCAGUCUGCAUGUAGCUUAGCAAGGAAGGAGCUCUAAACAAGCUGUUCACCUAAUCUUCUUCUUUGGCGAUCACUCAUAGCCGAGUAAGAUUGUCUUCCAUAAACACAGUGACUGUGGAGGCCAAUUCCAGAUCCACACGUCCUUCCACAGUGGGGACAUUGGUUUCUGGGCAGGAAUUGAUCACGGUGUGGAUUUGCCAAGCGUGCCUUUCUCUUAGCAAGUUUCUCUCUUGCGUCCUGAGUUCGAGUGUCUUCAAACCCCAUGACACCUUUGGUAAAGGCUGUUCUCCAGCUGGAGCGCUCGCAGGCCAAUGUUUCCCAAUUGUUGGUGUUUAUACUACAUUUAUUUUUUUUUAGAUUUGCCUUGAAACAGUCUUUAAACCUCUUUUGUUGACCACCAGCAUUACGCUUUCCAUUUUUAAUUAAAUAAAAGUAGUCUGAAUCCAGGUUCUUAUAUCUAAGAGCCCCCAGCCUUGAGCAGAAUACUAUUCCCACUGGGCAAUGGCUGCCUAUUACCAGUUUUGCAUGUACACCUCUGCAUUUCUCUGAGUUCAAUGGCCUUCUCUGGUAGCAAGACACCCAACUGGAUGGAUGGCUGUGUCCUUGGAAGGUGCUACAAAUCCUCUUGUGUUAGGGGGGAGCGGCCGUGGAGAAUGUCUAUUUGUGUGUCCUUGCUAUUUACGUUGGAAGAAUGGAGGGAAUUAUCUAUGAGGCAGGAUCCUGUACUCUCCGCAAUUACGGCCCAUUCAGCAAUGAAUGUGCCACUAAGCCUUGCAGAGGAGACAAAAGGAACACCCCCAAGAAGAACUUGUGGCUGCUGUUACCAGGGAAACCACUUCCCUUCUUUUCUCCCCAUGCAGAAUUCCCGCACCCUCGGUGAUUACAACCAGUGCAUAGAAACAAAUUGUAUUACCAAGGAUUUUUGACAGUGGGGGAAACUGGGAGAAUCUCAGGUGAUUGUUACCACAAGCAAAGACCAAUGAAACCAUACCCCAAAUAAUGUACCUGCAGGCUUCUAUUGCAAUUUUUUUAAAAUCUACAUCAGAAGGUUCCUAAUCGUCUGAAUGGUGGCUGGAAGCUGUUUGCAAAUAAAGUUGUAGAGUUUCCACUGUGAUCUCUGGUAACAUGAAUCAAUGAGGUAUGCUCUCUGACUAUUCUCCUAUUGAGACACCUCUGGAAAUCACAGAUUGUUAAGCCAACCCUCCUUCCUAUUCUAAUAUACCCAAGCCUAAUAGUAUUGUGUGUUCUUGCGUUGGCAUACGUCUAUCUCAAGAGACAAUGUAGUGUGCCCUUGGGGGUGAAGUCAAACCAGUGCGUUAGCAGUGCCAAAGUGACCUCCCUGGGGUGCAAACUUGGGCAGUGCAUAUUGGAGAUCCUGCCCAGAUAACAAUACCCACCUCUCAGCCUCACUGAUGUGGUCCUGUCAGGAUGCUGUCAACGGCUCCUGGCUGGUUGCCCAGGAAAGUAUAGACAAGGAAAAGUUUCUUACCACCCUUUUUCAUUUCAGAGAGAGGCUAUAAAACCCAGCCUCUUGGAUAAUGGCAUUGUCCCAAGAGACUCUCCACCCCCCCCAUCUCUCCCACUUCCUCAUUCGUCAUUCUCAUCAUCUCCUCUAUGGGUGCUCCUACGUGCCCUCUGUCACGUAGUGGUAUAGUGUGGUGUAGUGGUUAAGAGAGGUAGACUCGUAAUCUGGUGAACCAGGUUCGCUUCCCCGCUCCUCCAUGUGCAGCUGCUGGGUGACCUUGGGCCUGUCACACUUCUCUGAAGUCUCUCAGCCCCACUCACCUCACAGAGUGUUUGUUGUGGGGGAGGAAGGGAAAGGAGAAUGUUAGCCGCAUUGAGACUCUUUAGGGUAGUGAUAAAGCAGGAUAUCAAAUCCAAACUACUCUUCUUCUUCUGCCUUUGAUCUCUUUGCUCUCCUACUUUUAAGGCUUGCCGGGUUCUGGGAGAUGGAAAGUUUGGAAUGCUUUCUAAUGACAACCUGUCAUCCAGGUGUUGCUCUGGCUCUCUCAUGGUUUCCCAGCUUUUCCCUUCAUCUGUCUCUGAGCUGCGACCUCCCGCAAACCCUGUUGUAAAUCUAUACUGUCUUCCUCUUCCUUCUCCCUGGAAGGGUCAGGAUGUCUGUCUCGAGAUAAAAUGGAGUGGGCCUCUCAGGAUUAAGUGUGUUAGCAGCACCAAAGUGACCUCCCCUGGACGCAAGCCUGGACAGUGCUAUGGAGGUCCUGGGCUGCCCAGACCACAAGACCCCUCUCUCAGCCUCACUGAUGUGGUCCAAAGGAAAGCAAAGCAAUACAUUUGGCAUCAACUUGACUGCAGGAGUUCCUGGAAGGAGGCGUACAAGUCACCAUCCAACAAUCUGAGGGACUGGGAUUUGGAUCUGCAGUGCCACGGGAGCGAGAUGAAUAAACACCCAGCAAUAAAAGAUAAUGGGAGAGGAUUUACCCCAGCAAAUUAUUUGUCAAAAUUACAAAUACCCAAAUACAGACUGUCAUUUACCCUUGCUAGAUUCAACGUGCUGCCAUCUGCCUUAUUGCAAGGCAGAUUCGAGGGUAAACCAUACGCGGAACAAGUCUGCCCCUGCGGCUUGAUGGAGGUAGAAACUGUCUCUCAUGCCUUGUUACGCUGCCAUUUCUACGGGGAUAUAUGCUCGGUAUUUAUCACUCCUGUUACACAAAAAUCUCCAAAUGGGUCCGAACUUCAAUGUCUAAAACUCCUGGUAGAGGACAAGGAUCUAGAGAUCACGCUAAGGGUGGCCAAAUUCUGUGCGACUGCCAUAAAACUUAGGGAACAAGCUGUACUACCAAAAUGAUUAAGGUUUUAAAUGACAAUUUUAGGUUAUAUUUUAGUGAUCAAGAUUUAAUAUAUAUUUUUAACUGCUGCUAUAUCUGAAUUGUCUCUAUUAUACCCAAUUGCAAUUCAAUGUAUUCUUGUUGUGUUUUAUGAUUUUCCUGAUAUUGUAAGUGAGCGGGAACUGGUCUGUGACCGUAAUAAUAAAAUUCAAUCUGAGGGACUACACUCUGGAUUUGUGCAGGGUUUACUCCCUAGCGUUUUCUUUUGCCGAAGUUGUCGUGCAGGGCAGCCAAAGUUUUGAAUUCUGAUUCAGUCUUCUGCGGCAUUAGCUGCUACCCCUCCCAGUUUGAUAUCAUCUGCAAAUUUGAUGAGCAUCCCCUCAAUUCCUUCAUCCAAGUUGUUUAUAAAGAUGUUGAACAACAACAGGCCAAAGAUAGAACCCUGCGGCACCCCACUUGUCACUUUCCCCCCUUUUAAUCCACCUUGAUUUCACCAACCUAAAGUUCCGGUAGAUGUGUAGACAUACAUGUAGACAAAGGUCAAGUGAUAACUCAGGGCUGGUUGGAGGAAGCUGAAUGAGAGCCUUACUUCCACAGGACUCCAUCCAUAGCAAAAAAAGCAUAACAAUAUCCACCAAAAUCAAUAGCUUCACAAAAAGUAAAAAAAAUAAAAAAAUCAAAAGAAACAUCUAGAACAGUAUUUAUGUGUGGUGGAGGUGGGGAUGAUUUGAGAAAAGGAUUUAUUAGGGGAAAAUAUUAGAAAUACAGUUCUGGGAGAUUUUGAGUUUGUUUUGUUUGGCUAAAGAACAUGCGACAUGUGCAUCUGUAUGAACAUUUUAUUGUGGAGAAUAUCUGUCGUUAUAAAAAUCCCUCUUGGCAGAAAUACAGAAUUAGGAUAUCUGUUAGGUGAUGAGUAUCAGUUGGUCGAGGAUGUGGAUAAGCAACUGAGGGUACAGUGGUACCUCGGGUUAAGUACUUAAUUCGUUCAGGAGGUCCGUUCUUAACAUGAAACUGUUCUUAACCUGAAGCACCACUUUAGCUAAUGGGGCCUCCUGCUGCCGCUGCACCGCCGGAGCACGAUUUCUGUUCUCAUCCUGAAGCAAAGUUCUUAACCUGAGGUACUAUUUCUAGGUUAGCAGAGUCUGUAACCUGAAGCGUAUGUAACCCGAGGUACCACUGUAUUAGGAAUCUAAUCCCCCCCCCAGUCUCUCUGCUGGCCCCAAGCAUCACCUUUCAACCUAAGGGACCCUCGCCUUUACAUUAUUAUGUAAUGCAGCAAUUAGGAGGAGUAUUGAAAUACCCCCGUACCAGAUUCUGGAACUCUCAGGUCUAAUGAUUGUUUCUUCCCAAUGCUGCUAAGUUCUUCCAUCACUUGCUGGUUCCUAUGGGAUUCUCCAACUCACUUUUUUUUUUACCCUUCCACCACCCAGCCAUUUCCUGAUGGUGUUUGCCACGCCAUGCCUUUUCCCCAGAACAAUGGACUACUUGCUUCUGCACCAAUAAACUUGCCACUUUCUCUUCUCUUGCCUCCCUAAAACAAACGAGUCCUUCUAUCUGUUUUUUGUCUCACGCAGAGCUGGUUCUCCCAAUAAUUGCUUGCGGGUGCACAAUUUCAAAGGGGCUUUUAUUGAAACCGCAUGCUCUCCCUCAUUUUAGCAAGUUUUCAGGACAAACUAGCAUCUCUGAAGGUGUGCUUCCACCUGAUCAGUGCUGGGAGUGAGCCUUCAAAGGAGGCGGCUGUAUCUCUCUGUCAGCUGAUCGCUGGUUACAGAUAUCCCCAUUGAACUUUGACAGGUGUCAGUCGCCUAAUAUCAUUGACAGUUGGGCAGUCCCACAGAGGGUGAAGGACUGAAAAUACCUGUCUCAGGUGCCAAAAUAAUUUGCCCAGCGUUGGAUAGACUGCACUUUGACUUCUGAGUGCCAUUUGAUAUAUUGCCUUGUGAAGCAAAAUGUCUUGGGCUGAUCCUGGUGUCAUGAUGACAAUGAACACUAAACCUUUCCCUUUUUUAAGGUGCUGUCUUAAAAAGUAAAGGACCCCUGACAGUUAAGUCCAAUCGCGAACGACUGUGGGGUUGCGGCGCUCAUCUUGCUUUACUCGCCGAGGGAGCCAGCAUUUGUCUGCAGUUUUUCUGGGUCAUGUGGCCAGCAUGACUAAGCCGUUUCUAGCAAAACCAGAGCAGCACACGGAAACGCCGUUUACCUUCCUGCCGGAGCGGUACCUAUUUAUCUACUUGCACUUUGACGUGCUUUUGAACUGCUAGGUUGGCAGGAGCAGGGACCGAGCAAUGGGAGCUCACCCCGUCAUGGGGAUUCAAACCGCCAACCUUCUGAUCGGCAAGCCCUAGACUCAAUGGUCUACACCACAGCACCACCUGUGUCCUGGUGCUGUCUUAGUCCUGCUUAUUUCAGGUGACGACGGAUGAGUGAGAAUUGCAGAGUGGCAGAUACUCAUGUUAGAAUAUUUACAACUAGCAAAACUGACGGGAGGAGUUAGAGAAGUAUUGAACCAGAAAAUAUUUGGAGAAUGGUGAAUAUUUAAGGAUUAUAUAAGAUCAUAUUGUAUCAACCACACCAUAUUAGCAGAACUUGAGUGAUACUUGUAAACACAACAAAUACCCUUUGUGGAGUAGACAGGAACAAUAUUAAAGAAUAUAAAACUGUGUGGAAAAAACCACGACAGC